rnacentral:rRNA from 1 species
UACGUAGGGGGCGAGCGUUGUCCGGAAUCAUUGGGCGUAAAGAGCGUGUAGGCGGUCCGGUAAGUCGGUUGUGAAAGUCGGGGGCUCAACCCUCGGAGGCCGACCGAUACUGUCGGGCUAGAGUCCGGAAGAGGCGAGUGGAAUUCCUGGUGUAGCGGUGAAAUGCGCAGAUAGUCAGGAGGAACACCGGUGGCGAAGGCGGGUCUCU